UACGUAGGGUGCGAGCGUUGUCCGGAAUUACUGGGCGUAAAGCGCACGUAGGCGGCUUUGUAAGUUAGAGGUGAAAGCCCGGGGCUCAACUCCGGAAUUGCCCUUAAGACUGCAUCGCUAGAAUUGUGGAGAGGUAAGUGGAAUUCCGAGUGUAGAGGUGAAAUUCGUAGAUAUUCGGAAGAACACCAGUGGCGAAGGCGACUUACUGGACACAUAUUGACGCUGAGGUGCGAAAGCGUGGGGAGCAAACAGG
rnacentral:rRNA from 1 species